AAAUUGAAGAGUUUGAUCAUGGCUCAGAUUGAACGCUGGCGGCAGGCCUAACACAUGCAAGUCGAACGGUAACAGGAAGCAGCUUGCUGCUUUGCUGACGAGUGGCGGACGGGUGAGUAAUGUCUGGGAAACUGCCUGAUGGAGGGGGAUAACUACUGGAAACGGUGGCUAAUACCGCAUAACGUCGCAAGACCAAAGAGGGGGACCUUCGGGCCUCUUGCCAUCAGAUGUGCCCAGAUGGGAUUAGCUUGUUGGUGAGGUAACUGCUCACCAAGGCGACGAUCCCUAGCUGGUCUGAGAGGAUGACCAGCCACACUGGAACUGAGA
rnacentral:rRNA from 1 species